UGUAUCCUGAGGCGUGAUGGUGACCGCUUUAGCGGGAAGCAGGGUGAUCCUAUGCUGCCAAGAAAAACUUCUAGCGAGGUUUGAGCCGCCCGUACCCUAAACCGACCCAGGUGGUUAGGUAGAGAAUACCAAGGCGAUCGAGUGAAUCGUGGUUAAGGAAUUCGGCAAAAUGCCCCCGUAACUUCGGGAGAAGGGGGGCCGUGACCUUGAAACCCUUUACGGGUUAGGGGUAUCGGCCGCAGAGACCAGGGAGAAGCGACUGUUUACUAAAAACACAGGUCCGUGCGAAGAAGCAAUUCGAUGUAUACGGACUGACGCCUGUCCGGUGCUGGAACGUUAAGGGGACCGGUUAGCUCCAUCCGUGGGGCGAAGCUGAGAACUUAAGCGCCAGUAAACGGCGGUGGUAACUAUAACCAUCCUAAGGUAGCGAAAUUCCUUGUCGGGUAAGUUCCGACCUGCACGAAUGGCGUAACGACUUCUCCACUGUCUCAACUGCGAACUCGGCGAAAUUGCAUUACGAGUAAAGAUGCUCGUUACGCGCAGCAGGACGGAAAGACCCCGGGACCUUUACUACAGCUUGGUAUUGGUGUUCGGUACGGCUUGUGUAGGAUAGGUGGGAGACUGUGAAGCGGCCACGCCAGUGGUUGUGGAGUCAACGUUGAAAUACCACUCUGGUUGUACUGGAUGUCUAACUUCGGUCCAUGAUCUGGAUCAGGGACAGUGCCUGGUGGGUAGUUUAACUGGGGCGGUUGCCUCCCAAAAGGUAACGGAGGCGCCCAAAGGUUCCCUCAGCCUGGUUGGCAAUCAGGUGUUGAGUGUAAGUGCACAAGGGAGCUUGACUGUGAGACCGACAGGUCGAGCAGGGACGAAAGUCGGGACUAGUGAUCCGGCGGUGGCAUGUGGAAGCGCCGUCGCUCAACGGAUAAAAGGUACCCCGGGGAUAACAGGCUGAUCUUGCCCAAGAGUCCAUAUCGACGGCAUGGUUUGGCACCUCGAUGUCGGCUCGUCGCAUCCUGGGGCUGGAGUAGGUCCCAAGGGUUGGGCUGUUCGCCCAUUAAAGCGGUACGCGAGCUGGGUUUAGAACGUCGUGAGACAGUUCGGUCCCUAUCCGCUGUGCGCGUAGGAAACUUGAGGAGAGCUGUCCCUAGUACGAGAGGACCGGGAUGGACGAACCACUGGUAUGUCAGUUGUUCCGCCAGGAGCAUCGCUGAUUAGCUACGUUCGGGCGUGAUAACCGCUGAAAGCAUCUAAGCGGGAAACAUCCUCCAAGAUGAGGUUUCCAUACCCCGCGGGGUGAGAGGCUCCCAGCUAGACGACUGGGUUGAUAGGCCAGAUGUGGAAACACAGUAAUGUGUGCAGCUGACUGGUACUAAUAA
rnacentral:rRNA from 1 species